AUACCUUUCUCGGCCUUUUGGCUAAGAUCAAGUGUAGUAUCUGUUCUUAUCAGUUUAAUAUCUGAUAUGUGGGCCAUGUGCCUACUUCGAUAUUAAAUUUAUUUUUUGUGGGGGAAGGCCCACUGCAGUGGCUUGCCACUGGGGCCCCCGCGCGUCGCCCAGCCGUUGCACUGCUGGCAGGGCCUGGCGCACCCCAA
rnacentral:snRNA from 1 species